rnacentral:rRNA from 1 species
CCAGACUCCUACGGGAGGCAGCAGUGGGGAAUAUUGGGCAAUGGAGGGAACUCUGACCCAGCAACGCCGCGUGAAGGAUGAAGGUUUUCGGAUUGUAAACUUCUGUCGCGAGGGAUGAAGAAUGACGGUACCUCGUAAGAAAGCCCCGGCAAACUACGUGCCAGCAGCCGCGGUAAUACGUAGGGGGCAAGCGUUAUCCGGAUUUACUGGGUGUAAAGGGAGCGUAGGCGGCGAUGCAAGUCAGAAGUGAAAGCCCGGGGCUCAACUCCGGGACUGCUUUUGAAACUGUGUUGCUAGAUUGCAGGAGAGGUAAGUGGAAUUCCUAGUGUAGCGGUGAAAUGCGUAGAUAUUAGGAGGAACACCAGUGGCGAAGGCGGCUUACUGGACUGUAAAUGACGCUGAGGCUCGAAAGCGUGGGGAGCAAACAGGAUUAGAUACCCUAGUA